GACGAACCGUGCGAACGUUAUUCGGAUUCACUGGGCUUAAAGGGCGCGUAGGCGGACGAGCAAGUCCGGGGUGAAAUCUUUCGGCUUAACCGGAAAAGUGCCUGGGAAACUGCUCGUCUUGAGGGAGGUAGGGGCCUGUGGAACUUCCGGUGGAGCGGUGAAAUGCGUUGAUAUCGGAAGGAACACCGGUGGCGAAAGCGGUGCGCUGGACCUCUUCUGACGCUGAGGCGCGAAAGCCAGGGGAGCGAACGGG
rnacentral:rRNA from 1 species